rnacentral:rRNA from 1 species
GACGAACGCUGGCGGCGUGCCUAACACAUGCAAGUCGAGCGAAUGAAGUUCCUUCGGGAAUGGAUUUAGCGGCGGACGGGUGAGUAACACGUGGGCAACCUGCCUCAUAGAGGGGAAUAGCCUUCCGAAAGGGAGAUUAAUACCGCAUAAGAUUGUAGUAUCGCAUGAUACAGCAAUUAAAGGAGCAAUCCGCUAUGAGAUGGGCCCGCGGCGCAUUAGCUAGUUGGUGAGGUAACGGCUCACCAAGGCGACGAUGCGUAGCCGACCUGAGAGGGUGAUCGGCCACAUUGGGACUGAGACACGGCCCAGACUCCUACGGGAGGCAGCAGUGGGGAAUAUUGCACAAUGGGGGAAACCCUGAUGCAGCAACGCCGCGUGAGUGAUGACGGCCUUCGGGUUGUAAAGCUCUGUCUUCAGGGACGAUAAUGACGGUACCUGAGGAGGAAGCC